rnacentral:rRNA from 1 species
UGCAGAAGCUUAGCGAAGUAUAUUUUAGUGGCGGACGGGUGAGUAACGCGUGGAUAACCUGCCUUACACUGGGGGAUAACACUUAGAAAUAGGUGCUAAUACCGCAUAAGCGCACAGGACCGCAUGGUCUGGUGUGAAAAACUCCGGUGGUGUAAGAUGGAUCCGCGUCUGAUUAGCUAGUUGGUGAGGUAAUGGCUCACCAAGGCGACGAUCAGUAGCCGGCCUGAGAGGGUGAACGGCCACAUUGGGACUGAGACACGGCCCAAACUCCUACGGGAGGCAGCAGUGGGGAAUAUUGCACAAUGGGCGAAAGCCUGAUGCAGCGACGCCGCGUGAGUGAAGAAGUAUUUCGGUACGUAAAGCUCUAUCAGCAAGGAAGAAAAUGACGGUACUUGACUAAGAAGCCCCGGCUAACUACGUGCCAGCAGCCGCGGUAAUACGUAGGGGGCAAGCGUUAUCCGGAUUUACUGGGUGUAAAGGGAGCGUAGACGGUUCUGCAAGUCUGGUGUGAAAGCCCGGGGCUCAACCCCGGGACUGCAUUGGAAACUGUGGAACUAGAGUGCAGGAGAGGUAAGUGGAAUUCCUAGUGUAGCGGUGAAAUGCGUAGAUAUUAGGAGGAACACCAGUGGCGAAGGCGGCUUACUGGACUGUAACUGACGUUGAGGCUCGAAAGCGUGGGGAGCAAACAGGAUUAGAUACCCUGGUAGUCCACGCCGUAAACGAUGAUUACUAGGUGUCGGGGGUCACAGACCUUCGGUGCCGCAGCUAACGCAAUAAGUAAUCCACCUGGGGAGUACGUU